rnacentral:rRNA from 1 species
UAGGGAAUAUUGGGCAAUGGGCGCAAGCCUGACCCAGCAACGCCGCGUGAGGGAAGAAGGUUUUCGGAUUGUAAACCUCUGUCCUAUGUGACGAAGGAAGUGACGGUAGCAUAGGAGGAAGCCCCGGCUAACUACG